rnacentral:rRNA from 1 species
UACGGGGGGGCAAGCGUUGUUCGGAAUUACUGGGCGUAAAGGGCCAGUAGGCGGCCAACUAAGUCGGAUGUGAAAUCCCCAGGCUUAACCUGGGAACUGCAUCCGAUACUGGAUGGCUUGAAUUCGGGAGAGGGAUGCAGAAUUCCAGGUGUAGCGGUGAAAUGCGUAGAUAUCUGGAGGAAUACCGGUGGCGAAGGCGGCAUCCUGGACCGACAUUGACGCUGAGACACGAAAGCGUGGGGUAGCAAACAGGA